rnacentral:rRNA from 1 species
UACGUAGGGUGCGAGCGUUGUCCGGAAUUACUGGGCGUAAAGCGUGCGCAGGCGGUUUCGUAAGUCUGUCGUGAAAUCCCCGGGCUUAACCUGGGAAUGGCGAUGGAGACUGCGAGGCUAGAGUUUGGCAGAGGGGGGUAGAAUUCCACGUGUAGCAGUGAAAUGCGUAGAGAUGUGGAGGAACACCGAUGGCGAAGGCAGCCCCCUGGGUCAAAACUGACGCUCAUGCACGAAAGCGUGGGGAGCAAACAGG